rnacentral:ncRNA from 1 species
UGAUAACUUCCCAAGGCCAGUCGAACCCACGUGCGUCCACGUGAACGCACAAGGUCAGGGAAUCCGGUGGGACUCCGGAGCUGACGCGCAGCGGUGAGGGUGACGGGCGGGGCAGCAAGGCCACUGGACGGUUCGUCCGGGAAGGCGUCCCGGCUGGACGAUCCCGAGUCCGAAGACCUGCUGGCGGCCUCCGGCCGAA